AUCUAAUUAUUGACUAAUCUUCUUGAAUAUCACUGAAUCUCAGUGAAUUAAUUUAUUACAACUAUUGCACAGGAUUAAUCAUCAAUUGUUUUGACAACUUUACCCUCGAUCAAUUCUCAAUCAUCAAUUAGCCAUAUGAUCGGAAAGGUACUUCUUAUGUAUGUAACCUCAUAGGUCUAUACCUAUAUCGGUAGCACAGAAAUAAUUUUUAUAUCAAUAGAAGUAAUCAUCUAGCAAUGGGACCCAAUAUCCAGAU
rnacentral:lncRNA from 1 species